rnacentral:lncRNA from 1 species
UUUUUUGACUGUCUUAUGUGUAUAUUUUCUGGAAUUGGCUCCCAGUGAUGAGUUCAAAAUCAUUUUUACUAAUCAUUGUUGUUUGAAUGAAAUAUCAAUGCCUUCUUUUCCUAGUGCAAGUUAAUUGAUUCUUAGUUUUCUGAAUGUUGAUGCCUUACGUACAAACGGUAAAUCCCUGGAGCAUUCUGGGCUAUUUUUGCUUUCAGUAUUCUUUUUUCAUGUUCCUUUAAGACACAGGGAUAGAUAAUUUUUAACGUUAACAAGUGUUAAAAAUGUUUUUAAAAAUAUGUUAACAUAAUGCUUUCUUCAAAGUGGUCAUAGCCAUUUUAUAACAACACUGGCCUACUGAUGGCCAUUAAUAGCACUAGCCACUGAUGGUCACUGGAAGCGUGCCAUUCCUGCGUCAUUCUGAUUUGGAUUUUCAUCCCUUGCUCUUGCAGUCACAUUUCUUGUACUUUUCCUGCCUGUGAUUCAGUUUGUUUGUUUUGAUGAUGUUAAACUCAACUUCAAAAUGAAGUUAAAAUGAGCAUACCGAAAUAUCUUGUUUAGUUUCAGUUUCUCUGCUUCUUGCGGCCUCGUAUAGGAGCCAUUCUUCCAAGGCAGCCAUCUUGUCCAUAUGAACAUUUCAUCAAUCUUCAAGCAGUUUCCAUUAUCCAUGGAUAAUUAUGACACCUGUACCACGAAACUCCUAAGCCCCCCAUUGCCUAGUAAUUCACAGGGUUUUUUUCUAUGUAACACAUUUGCUAAGACAUUCUUAUAAUAUGAAAAGGCUACUGGGUACACAAAUUCUGGGGCUGCUCCACUUCAAAGCCCAGUUCAGUUUCCUGGAAGAGGUUAGCAUAGUAUAUGUUGGAUCAGGCUUGCCAGCAUUAGUCCCAGUUUUUCUUCUGAACCUCUGGGAAGAGAACAGGCAAUUUCUUUUACAGCCUAACACAGCAAGACUCAAAGAGGAAAAAAGGUGCGAAAUGCAGUAGUCUUUAAGAUACUGGCCACAAGAUAAUCACUGAACAACUAUAUACAUCUAUGAAGUAAUAGGCUCUCAGGGACAGUCGAGUAAACUGCACUCAUACCUUCUUGUGGAAUAGGUUAGUAUAAGCUAACUCUGCAGAUCUUUUUCCAUCUCACUUAGAUGUAAUAAAAGAAAUAUAAGAUCUUGGCAUAUACACAGUCAUGCUAUAUAUUGAAAUGUGGAAAAAUAAUACAGCAGUGGCAAAAACAUAAUCCAAAUCCAUACAGUGUUUAGUAGAAUGCAGUACUCCCCUAUUACUACGUCUUCUAUGUGGACUUAAGCUUGUGGUUUUUAAAUUGGCAUCUCAGUUCCGUUUGGCUUGAUUGCUUUCUCCAUUAAUCAGAUUCUUCUCUUGUUGUUCAGCUAAGGACUGCCAUUUCUGCCUGUUUUUUCUACAGCCAUCCAGUAAAGGGUAGCAGGCCUCUGAUACAUGUGUUAGGGCCUCAUACAGCUGCAAGCAAACAGCAUCAAUGAAUCCAACCUGCAUGCUUGGAAUUUUGUUUUUCUUCUCUCUGUUCAUUAGAUCUGUUGGUUCUAUGUUGAGUUCCUUCCGCUCUUUAUCUCCCUGAUCAAAGAACUCAGUAGCUACAAGCUCAGCAAUCUGUAAGAGAUUUCACAUAUUGAGAGCUAUAAAAGUUUGCUUGCUACCUAUGAUCAAAACUGUUUUCUGAAUUUCCUGUGCCUUCUUAGGAUAUACCAGAUUGGGAUCAACCUCCAUAAGAAUCUCCCAUUUAACAGCUAGCUUUUAGAUGUAUUGAUACACACAUCUGUUCACAAAAGAGACACCUGCAUGUGCUGAUAUUUACUCUGACAAAGUAAGGCACAAUGGCACAAAAGUGCCUUACCAUUGAUAACAGCUAGAAUGAUCAACACAUAGAGAAAGGUCAGCUGAUACUAGAUAGUGUGCUGUAUGGACUGGCCACCUUGUAGUAACACAGAAAUGCUGGAAAAUAAAACAGAGAUUCCUGAUUUACUUUCAGAUAACCAGUAACAGGUAACAGAUACUUUCAGAUAAAGUAACAGGUUACUUUCAGUAACUAGUAACAGCUAAAGGCAUAGAUUUUGCUGCCAAGACCUGAGAAUGUCUUCAAUCCACAUUUAGCAUUUUGAAGGACUGCUUGCUAAGGUUCUACGUUCCACCCUUGCCUUUGCAAUACAGGUUGGAUAGAGAAAGCAGAAGCAGUUAUGCAGAGUUCAUAUUUAAGAAACCUUAAAAUUAAGGAUAUACCCGUUGCUGAACUGGCCACGGUUUGGUUAUAGCUGAUAAAUCACAAGCAGUCAUCAGCAUUGCUCUAUAGAGAAAAAAAAAAAAAAAAAAGAAAUCUAUGAAUUAUUAUACUGUGAAAUAACAGUCAACCAAGCCAAGCGAUUAGUAAAUAGAACAUCCAAUUUCAAGGAAAAUCAAAGUCAGUAAAACAAGUGAAAUUAAACCAAAGUUAUAAAGACAUCCAACGCUUGAUGAUGUGGUAGAAUUUCACCUGCAUGAAAUGAGCACACAGAAAUGAGCAAAUCUGGACCAACUCAUUUGUUGGAUUUUCAUAAAAUGAACUGCUUCAUUCUAUUUGCUACUGGACAGGUAGCACACUUAUUUCUGGCAACCAAAAUGGCCAACAGUACCCUGGGGUACAUCAGGCCCAGCUGGGUGAGGGAAGGGAUUGUCCCACUCUGCUCUGUGCAGCCUUACCUCAAGCACUAUCUGCAGAUCUGGGUGCCACAAUAUAAGAAGGACCUGAAGCUAUUAGAGUGAAUACAAAGGAGGGCUAUGAAGAUGAGGAAGAGUCUAGAGGGGAUGGUGUGUGAAGAGCAGCUGAGGUCACAGUGUUUCUUCAGCCCAGAAGAGGCUGAGGGGUGGCCCCAUGGUAGCCUUCAGCUUCUCAUGAAGGUAGCAGAGAGGUAGGCACCGAUCUCUCCUCUCUGGUGACAGUGACAGGACCAGAACGAACAGCAUGGAUCUCUAUCAGGGGAGGGUCAGGUUGAGUGUUAGAAAAAGGCUCUUCAGAGGGUGGUGAGCAUGGAACAGGCUCCCCAGCGCAGUGGACAUGGCCCCAGUCUCCCAGAGUUCAAGAAGUUUUUGUACAGUGCUCUCAG